CGAGAACUAAACCAUCGGGGAAGAGAGAACACACAGGAAAAGCCACAGAGCAAGGGGUUGCCAGCUCUAAGAACGUGGGUAGAAAUUAAUAAGUACACUGGACUUAACUAGAGCAUUUGAGUAAAGACAUGACGGAAGACUGAGAAGAGCAGACCACAGAGCUGAGACGUGCCAGAGCUCCACCUGGGAGUUCCCGUGUCAUUUCAGAGGUGUUAAAGAGGCCUCUCUCCUGGAGUCAUGGAUCUGGACGCUAAGGCAAUUUCCCCAUCGUGGCGGCUUUAAUUGGACCAGGCUUCCUAAACAGCGUCAUUUCCCCCUCGACCAGCCCUCUCUGUGCACACAUUUAGAAAAGAGGAAGCGGGUUCAAGGGAGGGCAUUGGGAGAAAAAAAACAAAAAAAAAACCGCCUGUUGGAGAAACGGAGCUCUGAGAACUCAUCCUAAGUAGAGCAAAUAGCAGGAGGCAUGUGGAAAACUGAUUAGUGAGGAGCAAAGCAGACGUUUAUUGCCCAGAGGUAGAAAGUUCACUAAUCUUCCUGCGAAACCUCUGUUUUCAUUUCCUUCUCAACUAACCUCCCUCUGGACCAAAUUUAUCACCUGUCUUAAGCUUCCAAUUGCUACAGAAACCAAAGAAGUCCAAGGACUAUGAAUGGAAUCUCAUGGGAAUUGAUCUCCCCAUUCUGCCCUGAACCCCCAAAGAUCAUCUUGAGAUGCUGACGACUUUCACUACAUUUUGUGCUUUUCCGACCCCCCCCCCCCCCCCCCCCCCGUUACCAGUGGACUUGAGGAAGGGCGAUGUGGUGGACCUCAGGGAACCGUCAACGCCGAGAAGACAUCUACAUCUUUGCAACAUGAGGCUGUAACGGGAGCCUUCAGGGUCAGGAGAUGAAGCUCUGGGCCAAGCAGCAUUGCUGGGGCUGGGCUGGCACAGUGGACCCUUCUGCUAAGUGAGAGACCUUGACAUGCGGAUUGUUAAAGACCAUCCAAGCUGGAACAAGUUGAGCACAAAAUAAGUAGCCGUAUCGGAUUAUCGCACAAAGUAUUUAUAAGGAGAC
rnacentral:lncRNA from 1 species